UCUCUUACAGUUACUGACAAGUUUAAGUGUUUUUCAGAGCUGAGAGUGAAGAUGAGUCCUUCUGCAGUGGUGACAGAGAGUCAGAGAGUCACACUGACCUGCAGUACCAGCUGUCCUCUGACUGACAACACAAACUACAUUUGGUACUUGAACAGUCGACCUCUGACCCCGAGAGAGAACCAGAACAAACAUCUGAUCCUAGACCCAGUCAGCAGGGAGGAUGCAGGAAGCUACUCCUGUGCUGUGAAAACCAACAAAGAUAUCAGCUCUGCUCCAAAGACUCUCACUGUCCAAAGUAUCACAGGAACAUGGACACCAGCAGCUGCAGGAGUUUCUGCAGCUCUGCUGCUUUUAAUACUUCUCACUGUCUGCUGGUGGAUCAGAAAAAGGAGAACUUCUAGAUUAUCGCCAACGAGUGAAACAAUGGAAAACUUGGAGCAGGUAAAUUUUGGGCCCCAGCAUGACGACAUCUCAGCUCAACCAGCAGAGCAGGAACUUGACUACAGCGAGAUCAACUUGUCCAAGAACCAAACAGAACAUCCCUACUCCACUGUUCAGUCAUUUCAAGAGCAGGAGCAUGUCCCCUACGCUGUUGUCAACUUCAGAGACAACACAACACCUGAACUCAAUGACCAGGCUGUGGACAGCGAGAGACUGUACAACACAUCAACCUAA
rnacentral:lncRNA from 1 species